rnacentral:rRNA from 1 species
GACGAACUGUCCUAACGUUGUUCGGAAUCACUGGGCUUAAAGGGCGCGUAGGCGGUCGACCAAGUCAGGGGUGAAAUCCUGCAGCUUAACUGUAGAAGUGCCUUUGAUACUGGUCGUCUCGAGGGAGGUAGGGGUGUGCGGAACUUCCAGUGGAGCGGUGUAAUGCGUUGAUAUUGGAAGGAACGCCGGAGGCGAAAGCGGCGCACUGGACCUCUUCUGACGCUGAGGCGCGAAAGCUAGGGGAGCAAACGGG